UGGUGGGGUGACUUGUCUGCUUAAUUGCGAUAACGAACGAGACCUUGACCUGCUAAAUAGCCCGCAUUGCUCCGGCAGUGCGCUGGCUUCUUAGAGGGACUUUCGGCUCAAGCCGAAGGAAGUUUGAGGCAAUAACA
rnacentral:rRNA from 1 species